GAAUAGAUAAAUUUUUUAUGUUUUUCAUAUUUUAUUAUAAAUUUAUUUUACAUGUAAAUUUUAGUAUAAAAUUUUAAUUAUUUAAAAAAUAAUUAAUUUUUAUUAACAGUAAUUAAAAUUAAAAAUUUAAGAAAUUAAGAUUUAGUAAUAUUUAAAUUAAUAACUAAUUUUGUGCCAGCAGUUGCGGUUAAACAAAAGUUAAAUUAAAAUAUUUCAGUAUAUAAUAAAUAUUAAAUAUUAAAUUAAAUAUUAAAUUAUUAAGUGAAAUUUUAAUUUAAUUAAAAUUUAUUUAAAAAUUAUGAAUUAAUAAAUUUUAUUAUAAACUAGGAUUAGAUACCCUAUUAUUAAAAAAUUAAUAAAAAAUACUAAAAUAGUAAAUAAAAUAUUAUUGAAACUUAAAUAAUAUGGCGGUAUUUUAGUUCAUUUAGAGGAAUCUGUCUAGUAAUUGAUAAUCCACGAAUAAAUUUACUUAAUUUAUAAUUUUGUAUAUCAUUGUUAUAAAAAUAUUUUUAAAUAAAAAUAAUAUUUUAAAAUUUAAAAUAAAAUUUAAUUCAGAUCAAGAUGCAGAUUAUAAUUAAGUUAAAGAUGGAUUACAAUAAAAUUAUUUAAAUGAAUAGAAUAUUGUAAAAUUAAUUGAAGGUGGAUUUAAAUGUAAUUUUAAUUAGUUUUUUAAAAUGAUUAAAAAUUGAAAUAUGUACAUAUUGCCCGUCACUUUCAUUUAAAAAUUGAAAUAAGUCGUAACAAAGUAGAGGUACUGGAAAGUGUUUCUAGAAUGAA
rnacentral:ncRNA from 1 species